GGGACAGCGGGCCAGGCUUUGGCUGAAGCCCGUUGGACUUUUAGUCCCCUCGAUUCUACCCAUGUCUUUUGCGCACUAUUUGUUUCCUCGGCGGGCUUGCCCGUCGAUAGGACUCACUCAAAACCUCUUGUAAUUGCAGUCAGCGUCAGUAACAAUGUAAUUAUUUCAACUUUCAACAACGGAUCUCUUGGUUCUGGCAUCGAUGAAGAACGCAGCGAAAUGCGAUAAGUAGUGUGAAUUGCAGAAUUCAGUGAAUCAUCGAAUCUUUGAACGCACAUUGCGCCCCUUGGUAUUCCAUGGGGCAUGCCUGUUCGAGCGUCAUUUGUACCCUCAAGCUUUGCUUGGUGUUGGGCGUCUGUUCUCCGCUUGGAGGACUCGCCUUAAAACAAUUGGCAGCCGGCAUAUUGGCCUGGAGCGCAGCACAAUUUGCGCCCCUUGCCAUGCUUGUUGGCACCCAUCAAGACCUUUUAUCAGCUCUUGACCUCGGAUCAGGUAGGGAUACCCGCUGAACUUAAGCAUAUCAAUAAGCGGAGGAAAAGAAACCAACAGGGAUUGCCCUAGUAACGGCGAGUGAAGCGGCAACAGCUCAAAUUUGAAAUCUGGCUCUUUCAGAGUCCGAGUUGUAAUUUGCAGAGGGCGCUUUGGCGUUGGCAGCGGUCCAAGUUCCUUGGAACAGGACGUCACAGAGGGUGAGAAUCCCGUACGUGGUCGCUGGCCUUCGCCGUGUAAAGCCCCUUCGACGAGUCGAGUUGUUUGGGAAUGCAGCUCUAAAUGGGAGGUAAAUUUCUUCUAAAGCUAAAUACUGGCCAGAGACCGAUAGCGCACAAGUAGAGUGAUCGAAAGAUG
rnacentral:rRNA from 1 species